rnacentral:rRNA from 1 species
CUCAGAUUGAACGCUGGCGGCAGGCCUAACACAUGCAAGUCGAGCGGUAACAGAGAGUAGCUUGCUACUUUGCUGACGAGCGGCGGACGGGUGAGUAAUGCUUGGGAACAUGCCUUGAGGUGGGGGACAACAGUUGGAAACGACUGCUAAUACCGCAUAAUGUCUACGGGCCAAAGAGGGGGACCUUCGGGCCUCUCGCGUCAAGAUAUGCCUAGGUGGGAUUAGCUAGUUGGUGAGGUAAUGGCUCACCAAGGCGACGAUCCCUAGCUGGUCUGAGAGGAUGAUCAGCCACACUGGGACUGAGACACGGCCCAGACUCCUACGGGAGGCAGCAGUGGGGAAUAUUGCACAAUGGGCGCAAGCCUGAUGCAGCCAUGCCGCGUGUGUGAAGAAGGCCUUCGGGUUGUUAAAGCACUUUCAGUCAGGAGGAAAGGUUAGUAGUUAAGUACCUGCUAGCUGUGACGUUAC